UUUCACAUCAAAAGCAUCACACACCCUGAAUAUGCACGUUAUGAAUUGCAGUGUCAUUACAAGGAGAUCUUUCCAUUAAUGUUCUAGCAUUUAAACUUGCUUUUUAUCACUAUUAUUUUUCUCUGCAAACUAUGCUACAAUGAAUUUGAAGUCAAAUCAUCAAUCUAAUCCAGUCCCUCUACAAGCCAGGCCGCUUUGCAUUAAUAGUUCUUGACAGAACAGCAUGAAUGCCAUUAUAAAGCGAUAUUCUCAUUCUGAAAAUACUAUAUGCAGCCACCAAACAAUAUGAAAGCAAAGACAAGCCACAGUUACAUAAUUGAUUACACAUAUAAAAUCAACAAAUCAUUUUCAGAAUUCAUAUUAUGAACAAAAGCAAACCUUUGUGUAAAAUCUCGGUUCCCGGUAGCGGGUUGGGUUG
rnacentral:misc_RNA from 1 species